rnacentral:rRNA from 1 species
GACGAACGCUGGCGGCGUGCCUAAUACAUGCAAGUAGAACGCUGAAGGAGGAGCUUGCUUCUCUGGAUGAGUUGCGAACGGGUGAGUAACGCGUAGGAACCUGCCUGGUAGCGGGGGAUAACUAUUGGAAACGAUAGCUAAUACCGCAUAAGAGUAGAUGUCGCAUGACAUUUGCUUAAAAGGUGCAAUUGCAUCACUACCAGAUGGACCUGCGUUGUAUUAGCUAGUUGGUGAGGUAACGGCUCACCAAGGCAACGAUACAUAGCCGACCUGAGAGGGUGAUCGGCCACACUGGGACUGAGACACGGCCCAGACUCCUACGGGAGGCAGCAGUAGGGAAUCUUCGGCAAUGGACGGAAGUCUGACCGAGCAACGCCGCGUGAGUGAAGAAGGUUUUCGGAUCGUAAAGCUCUGUUGUAAGAGAAGAACGAGUGUGAGAGUGGAAAGUUCACACUGUGACGGUAUCUUACCAGAAAGGGACGGCUAACUACGUG